UACGUAGGGGGCAAGCGUUGUCCGGAAUCAUUGGGCGUAAAGCGCGUGUAGGCGGCCAGAUAAGUCCGCUGUGAAAUCUCGAGGCUCAACUUCGAGCUGUCGGUGGAAACUGUCUGGCUAGAGUCCGGAAGAGGAGAAUGGAAUUCCUGGUGUAGCGGUGAAAUGCGCGGAUAUCAGGAAGAACACCCGUGGCUAAGGCGGCUCUCUAGUACGGUACUGACGCUGAGACGCGAAAGCGUGGGGAGCGAACAGG
rnacentral:rRNA from 1 species